CUUGUUGUGUUUUAUUGUGUUGCAUUGUGUGUGUGUUGUAUCGUUGUUGAUAUAUUAUCGUCUUCCUCACUCUUUGUGUCGGAUAAUAUUUUUUCUUGUUUCUCAUCAUCUUCUUGCAGGUUACUUUGGUCUGCGAAUGAUGUUGAUGGCAUAUCCUCUAGUCGGAUAUAGGGUUGUUCUUCUCGUUGAAUUUUUUGCCUCGAGUUGUCAAAGAUGAUAACCUCUUUGUCUUCGUCCUCACUUUCCAUGAUGUAAGUAACUAGCUUGGAAGUCCAUCUUGCGGUUACUUGUUUGGAUGUUUCGUUUCCGAUAAUGCUUUGCGCGAUGUGUAAAGGUUUUUUCGACGUAACUUCGACCUCUUUAUUUCAUCUUACUGUCGUUGUUGAAGUGACGAUGAAUUUUGUAUCGUACGUCUCGUCGUAUGUCACAAAUUUGUCGAUAUAUGAUAUCGCAUUUGACGUUAUCUUCUCGACUUUGUGCAUCAGGUCGCUGAUUUUUUCUUCUCCGUCGCUAUCGCUUUGAAUUAUCGGUGUAUUUGUAAGUAAUUCGAUGGUUUCCUCGAGUUUCCUCGAGUUUCACACAACACAUAACAACAGCACGAUCUGCUGUGGAAAGAUGCAUAGGUAUUUUAAAAGGCCGAUGGCGAUGUUUACGAAAAGAAAGGGCAUUGCAUUAUCAGCCAGAAUUUGCAGCUCAUAUUAUAAAUGCAUGUUGUGUUCUACAUAAUAUUGCAAUAAAAUAGAGAAUUCCACCAAAUGAAAUAUGUUUAGAGGAUAUAGAUCAAGAAGCACCAAUUCCAUAUAAUGGUGUUAAUGGAAAUAACGCUGAACAAAUACGAAGAGAUAUUAUUAGAUGGUAUUUUGAAUAGUUUUUUAUUUCAAACAUACAUAUAUUGCUGGAACUUUGUGAAGACAAAUUAAACAUAAAGUUAAACAUUUAUACUCUCGAUCUAACAAUAAAGCAAUUAAUUAUAAUCAUAAA